AGUGAACGCUGGCGGUAGGCCUAACACAUGCCAGUCGAACGGCAGCACAGUAAGAGCUUGCUCUUACGGGUGGCGAGUGGCGGACGGGUGAGGAAUACAUCGGAAUCUACUUUUUCGUGGGGGAUAACGUAGGGAAACUUACGCUGAUACCGCAUACGACCUACGGGUGAAAGCAGGGGAUCUUCGGACCUUGCGCGAUUGAAUGAGCCGAUGUCGGAUUAGCUAGUUGGCGGGGUAAAGGCCCACCAAGGCGACGAUCCGUAGCUGGUCUGAGAGGAUGAUCAGCCACACUGGAAGUGAGACACGGUCCAGACUCCUACGGGAGGCAGCAGUGGGGAAUAUUGGACAAUGGGCGCAAGCCUGAUCCAGCCAUACCGCGUGGGUGAAGAAGGCCUUCGGGUUGUAAAGCCCUUUUGUUGGGAAAGAAAAGCAGCAGGUUAAUACCCCGCUGUUCUGACGGUACCCAAAGAAUAAGCACCGGCUAACUUCGUG
rnacentral:rRNA from 1 species